rnacentral:lncRNA from 1 species
UUUGCAUAUCUCAGAGUCCUCUGAGAAGAAAAUCAUUAUCUCUGUUUCAUAGAUUGUGAGAUGAAGGCAUAAAGAGUUACCUCACGGUGGUAUAUUGAAGAAUAUGAAGUGAGGAGCAGAACGGAGAGGAAACUCCAGAUCUCUUGAAACUCCAGCUCAGCACAAGAGAAAAGAAAUGCAUUACCAUCUGAUGAUAAGGAGCUAGCAGAGUCCACACGUGCAUUCAGACCGUGGGUAUAUGUAAACUACGUUCCCCGUGAGAAGAGUGUCUGUAUACUUGACAGACUGGCCACAGGAUGGGGUUUAUUGCCACAGUCCUUUCCUGGAAGAUGAUUUAGCCACCAGCAACCUUUGUACGUGUAAGGUAACAAAACUUGACAUGGUAACACUGAAACUUGCCACUUGAUUCUUCUGUUCUUUUGCAGUUCUCAUGAGUUUCUCAUUCACUGACUCCUUUCCCGGUAUACAUUAACUCAAAUAUUAUUAACAAAGACCGUCUUAAAAGCCAGUGGAUAGUCAUUGCCAGUGUGAGAUAGGCCCAGAUUUUGAAUGCAAUCCCUUUUUGUAAUGAUGAUGAUCAAUAGUGUCUUGGAGGGAGGGGGCUCAGGUGCUGGACGUACUCCGGUGAGGAGCGGCAGCCUCUCGAAGACAGAUCGCAGAACUGCUGAGACUGGACCGGACAAUUCAAGUUAAGUCUUUGGUGUUCGGGACCGACGAGACCCUGGCUACCUCCUGAGAUAACGUGAUGCCCACACAGACUCCUGCUGUGGUGUGCCUGUCUGUUUUCAAGGAUGGCUCUGGAUUGUGCCUCUGUGCAGGCUGUGAUACUGAAUAAGCUGGCCUCAUCUGGCAGGCAAAGCAUCUCUCUGUUGAAUUAAUAGCUUUAUGUGGCUCAUAGGAUGAAACGGGAAGGCAAUCUGAGGGUGUUAGAACAUCAUCAUCUUCUUUUCUUCUUCUUAACAGAACCAUAGCUUCUGUGCCUCUCCAGCAGAAAUGACCUUCAAGGUCUGUUGUGACAAGGCCUAAGUGGAUGCAUUUCUUAUGGGGAUGAAGCAACAAGGUUGUUUGCUUCUGUUGGUUAAAAAUAGACUUUUAUGGUUACUUUAAUGUCUCAUUUUUCUUUAUACUUGGAAGGCUUAAAAAUUUGCCCUGACACAUAUCGGUAAAACAGAAGCUACAGGGAAAGAGUCAGCUAUAAGAUAUCCAAGCAAAAGGAUACUUUAAAAUCCAUCAKUUUCUGUGGCAUCUUUCAUAUGCACAAAGUUACAAUGCCUGGCAGGCUAUCUCAGUGUGUCCAAUUGCCUGUUUUAACAAACACAUCUUUAGACUUGUGGAAGUAAAGUAAGGUCAUUGCUUGAAUGAGUAAGCUGACACUUGGAAAGAGAUGCAGUGUGAUAGGUCUACUGCUCUCCAAACAGUGUGUACAGAAAAAAUAACAGUAAAACUAAAAGAUAACAUAUAAGCAAUAAAAAAUAGCAAGUAUCUCUUCCUAGGCA